rnacentral:pre_miRNA from 1 species
AGGGGGAGAUCAGAUCCUGGGCUGUGUCCCCCCACGGCCUGGGCUCCAGGGCCUGCGCUGUUGGAUUCACGCUCCCGGCCGUGCAGCCUCCU